rnacentral:rRNA from 1 species
CCUACGGGAGGCAGCAGUAGGGAAUCUUCCACAAUGGACGAAAGCCUGAUGGAGCAACGCCGCGUGAGUGAAGAAGGGUUUCGGCUCGUAAAACUCAGUAUCGGAGAAGAACGUACUUGGUAGUAACUGGCCAGCUAGG